UACGUAGGGAGCAAGCGUUGUCCGGAAUCAUUGGGCGUAAAGAGCGUGUAGGCGGCCCGGUAAGUCGGUUGUGAAAGUCAAGGGCUCAACCCUUGAAUGCCGACCGAUACUGCCGGGCUAGAAUCCGGAAGAGGCGAGUGGAAUUCCUGGUGUAGCGGUGAAAUGCGCAGAUAUCAGGAGGAACACCGAUGGCGAAGGCAGGUCUCUGGGCCACUACUGACGCUGAGAAGUGAAAGCAUGGGGAGCGAACAGG
rnacentral:rRNA from 1 species